rnacentral:rRNA from 1 species
UAGGGAAUCUUCCACAAUGGACGAAAGUCUGAUGGAGCAACGCCGCGUGAGUGAUGAAGGGUUUCGGCUCGUAAAACUCUGUUGUUGGAGAAGAACGGGUGUCAGAGUAACUGUUGACAUCGUGACGGUAUCCAACCAGAAAGCCACGGCUAACUACGUGCCAGCAGCCGCGGUAAUACGUAGGUGGCAAGCGUUGUCCGGAUUUAUUGGGCGUAAAGCGAGCGCAGGCGGUUUUUUAGGUCUGAUGUGAAAGCCUUCGGCUUAACCGGAGAAGUGCAUCGGAAACCGGGAGACUUGAGUGCAGAAGAGGACAGUGGAACUCCAUGUGUAGCGGUGAAAUGCGUAGAUAUAUGGAAGAACACCAGUGGCGAAGGCGGCUGUCUGGUCUGCAACUGACGCUGAGGCUCGAAAGCAUGGGUAGCGAACAGGAUUAGAUACCCUGGUAGUCCAUGCCGUAAACGAUGAGUGCUAAGUGUUGGAGGG